rnacentral:rRNA from 1 species
UCGAACAGACCUAAAUUUUUCAGCUCCUACACCAAAAUUUUAUUUUAAUCCAACAUCGARGUCGCAAUCCCUUUUUUCGAUUUGAACUCUUUAAAAAAAUUACGCUGUUAUCCCUAARGUAAUUUACUCUUAUAAUCUUUACUUAARGAUCAUAUACUCACAAAUAAAUGUUUAAAUAUAAAAAAAGUUUAAUAAAUUUUUCAAUCACCCCAACCAAAUUAAUUUUCAUAUAAAAAAUAAUUAAUACUAAAAUUUUCCAUAUAAAUUUUAAUAAAACUCUAUAGGGUCUUCUCGUCUUUUAUUACAAUUUAAGCUUUCUUACUUAAAAAUAAAGUUCUAAUGAAUUAAAAUAGAGACAGUCAUUUUCCCAUCAAACCUUUCAUUCCAGCUUUCAAUUAAAAAACUAAUUAUUAUGCUACCUUUGCACGGUCAGGUUACCGCGGCCAUUUAAAAUUCAUAGGGCAGGUCAGACCUUAAAUUAUAUUCAAAAG